UACGGAUGGAGCAAGCGUUGUUCGGAAUCACUGGGCAUAAAGCGCAUGUAGGCGGCCUCAAAAGUCAGGUGUGAAAUACCCCGGCCACCCGGGGAAGUUGCAUUUGAAACUGUGGGGCGUCGAGUGAUGGAGGGGAGAGUGGAACUCCUGGUGGAGCGGUAAAAUGCGUAGAUAUCAGGAGGAACGCCGGUGGAGAAGUCGACUCUCUGGCCAUCUACUGACGCUGAGAUGCGAAAGCUAGGGGAGCAAACGGGAUUAGAUACCCGGGUAGU
rnacentral:rRNA from 1 species